GGCCAUUGCACCUACUGUUGAUUUAGUAAGCAUUUAUGGGAUGCCUUACAAAUGCCAGGCACUUCCCUGUGACAGGAGGAUUAAGUUGAAGCCCAUUCUCGUUCUCUGGGAGCAUUCACAGUUCAAUGGAGGAAACAAAGAAUUGCCGUGCAACGGGAACAGCUGGAAAAACCUUUGAAGGAUAGAGGAAAAUUUUUCUUCACCAGCACUUUCGAUGAGCCCAGGAGACCUCACUGGCUAGGCAUGACUCAUUCUGAAGCUUUUGCAGUAGAAAGAUCCUGGGACUUCUCAUAGAGCUGUAAAAGGCCUAACAUUGGGAGCCCACUUGCAAGACUGCCUCCUGAAAUGAGAUAUAACUGCUUAACUCAAUUGAUCUAUUCUCAAGACUGAGGCUGGUUCAUUGAGGUACGUACUAGUCUAUCAGUUUAGCUUCUGGACUGUGAAAUUUCUUUAAGGUUUCAAAGGUGGGACUGAAGGGAUGUAGAACAAAUGUCCCCAAAAUGCACCAUUUUGGCAUGUGUGCUAUUUUGAGCUGAAGGCAACUGAGACGCUGCAGGCUCAAGAGAAACUGUUGUCUCUUCUAUAACUACCUAGA